UGUUGUAUGCUGUGAUUCCGCGAAAGCCCCAAAAUUUUUGGUCUCAGAGACUCUCUCUCUCUCAAAAUCUCCUCCGCUCCCAAAACCCUCACCACUGCCGCUGCUCCUCCUCCUCCACUCGCAACCGUUUCCCCGCCGCCCAGCCUUCCUUCUUCGUUUUAUCCGGCGGGACCGCCUUCAACAGCGUCAUCGAGGAGCUCAAGAAUUUCACCACUCGCGUCGCCCAAGUGCUUCCCGUUUCCGGCGACGGAGGAAGCACCACCGAGAUUGUCCGCGUCCUCACAGAGACUCAUUAUCUCAAAUCUACUCUUCAAAUCGGAUUUUGGGAGUCCGAUGCCGGCGGGGCAGGAAGAUCCACCGACGGCUGAGGUGAUAUCCAGAAAUCUGACGCCGUUAAUGGGAUGGUCCUUAGAACCGAAUAGAGAGAAGCCAGCUACUUCUCGUCGAACGCGAAGACAUCGAUGAUGAAGACGACCUCUUCGAAUCGAUCGAUAAGUGUAAGCUUCACAAACGUUUGCUCUGGUAAUUGAUUUCAGUUAAUUUUCAAAUUUCCGAUCGAUUUUCUUAGUUUUUUCUCGACUUCUCGCCGGAAUUGAGUGUGUUUGCUCCCAAUUCUAUGAUUAGAAGUAAAUUUCAAGUGAAAAUUGCUUCAGAAGUGACUAAAUCGAAGUUCUAAUGGAGCGAUGAGAUUUAUGUGCAAUGAUUGCUCAGGGAAUCAAUGCGGGAGAUGUUGAAGAUUCAGGACACAAGGAUCUACAUCUGGCAACUGCACCAAGAAGGUACGGUAGAAAUGAAUUACGAGCUCUUGCCAUUAAUCUUCUAUGUCCAAUUUUCUGUUUCUGUGUACUUGUGGACUGCUUUAUACAAAUCUAGCUGAGUUAUAUAUAUGAGAUAUUUCAUUGUAGAUUUCCUUUAUUACUAUAAACAAGAACAGUCAAAUCGAAGAGUGGUUAUUUAAGGUUUAAGGAGGGAUUUUAAAUUAGAUCAAAGGAGUUGAAUGCAAUAUAUACACUUAAAUUUUAAGGAGGGAUUUUAAAUUAGAUCAAAUGGUGGAGCCAUCAGAGGGUCCAGUCCAAGCUGAUGAUCAUGCAGGAAGCAAUAGUUUGAAAUCAAGGGAGUCCUCCGAUGCUAAAGAAGAAACCUCGAGACAAAAGAUUGUUAUUAAAGAGGAAAAGGCAGCUGUUGCAUCUAGGUAUAUGCAAGGUUUUUCGACAUUAAAUUCAAAAGCUAACUCACAAGAUUCUAGUGGAGGUGGGAAGCACAAUGAUAAUGAGAGUGGUGGUAAGAAGCAGGUUGGCAUGAUAAAAGGCAAACAGCAAGAGCUUAAUGGUCAGUGUUACAGGUACGCUCGAUAACUCCUUCCCACAGCAGAGCUGGUGCACUUUCAUUAAAGCCAGAAGCAGCUGUAUCGAACAAUCCCUCCUUAAAAUUUAAGUGUAUAUAUUGCAUUCCACCUAUUGUUAACCUUAAAAUUUUUGGGGUCCUGCAAGAUAUGCUUUGAAGAAACACACCGCUAACAGACAAGUGUAUUGCUUCUCCCCAUCUUCUGAGCGUAUUCCAGAUUGUAUAGCCUCCUCAUUGUCAAGGUAAGUAGCUCUUAUUAUCAAUGCACUCUAUUAUGUGCCCCUGUUUCUCUCUCUCUCUCUCUCUCUCUCUCUCUCCUUUUUUUCUCUACAGAACUUGAUGCUUUGGCCAAUAACCAUGAAACUAUUUCCAGGAAAUAGUGUAUUGCAACCAUCUAAUUGUUCUUGUGCACCAUUGAGUUUAGACUUCAGAGACACCAUGUAGAAUGUGGUAUAUUGUAGCUUUGAAUUGGCGUAUAUUGCUCAAUAUUGUUGUUUACGUUCAGGUGGAAGUAAUCUCUGUUUCUGUUAAGUGCAGAGGCUGUGAAGGAGCUAUAUGAUAAAAUGCUGAAAUCUGGAAUGCUAAAUGAUGUAAAGGGGAAUGACACUUUUAGAGGGGAAUGACUUAAUGGUGGAAGAAUCAAAUUGGAAGAGCAGAAAGAUGGAAAUGCAGCAAUACUGUGCACGUGAAUGGAAGUCCAUCUUAGGUGCAACAGCCGAUUCUGAAAAUUCUAAAGGCGGCUUUGACUGCAACAUCUGCUCAGACUUUUCACACGAGCCAGUGGUCACCCUCUGUGGCCAUCUGUACUGCUGGCCUUGCAUCUACAAAGGGCUUCACGUCCAGAGCGCCUCCCUUGCGUUUGAUGAGUGCCCUCAGUGCCCUGUUUGCAAGAAACAAGAUGUAUUUGAAGUGGAAUGUGGCAAUGUGCAGUGAAUGUUUUGAGGCAAUCCACCCCAGUGGCUUUACACUACCACUUUAAGGUUUAUUUUAUUUGUAUUGGUUUUGCUAUAAGCUUCAUUUGUGAUUGCUUCCACAGCAUUUGUUUGUAUGCUGCUUAACUUUUUAUACAAGUGAAGGUUCUCUUAUGAAAUUGCAACAAGCAAAGAAUUAGACAUAUGUGUUAUUCGUUUUUAUUUAUAAAGUUUUUGGGUGACAUUGGAACAACAAAGAAUAUUUUUUUUAUUUUAAAAAAAUUGAAUUUACGGCGUGCAAAGCAUGCCUUAAACUAAAAUUUACGGCAUGCUUUAAGGUCAUUUACGGCGUGCAUAUCAAGUUUAACGGCGUGUUUUUAGGUCAUUUACGGCGUGCUUUUGGGUUAUUUACGGCGUGCAAAUGCACGCCGUAAAAAGACAAAAAAAAUUUCGUUUUUUACGACGCGGUCUAUAAGGGCGCACUUUUGCACGGAUUUGCACGUCGUAAAUUUUCAUUUACGGCGUUUUUGGCACGUCGUAAAUGAUUCGUUUUCCUGUAGUGCAAGCAUGAUAUCAUGGGAAGCAAGGCCGACGCCUCAGUGCUCCCCAAACAGGUCAUUUACUUUCUUCAUUUUUCAAUUCUCUCAAUUUCUCAAUUUCUAGGGUUUGAUUUGGUUACUAUUAGGGAUUCAUCACUGUUUUGGGUUUUAGCGUUUAGGGCCCAGGCCGCCUAGGCGCUGGGCGGUGGGUCUCCGCCGCGAUUAAUGUCGAAUCGGUGGAGCUGGGCGGUUGGGGUUUCGGCGGCCACCUAGGCGGCCUAAACGGGCGACUGGGCGCCUGGGCGUCUGUGCGUUUGGGCGGAUUGGCCUGGGCGGUUCUGCCAUUAGAUUUGGUUUUGAUUUGGAUUCUUUUCGGCAACGACGGAGGUCCGAUCCUCAACUGCGAUAGAACUUUCUUGUGUUUCUGAGUUUUGGUGAGGUGGGUCGAUCUGAUUUUGGGGUGUGGAUUGGUGAGAUUAAUCAGUUUUGCUGAUUGGAUUCGGUGGAACAAAAAGUUAUAUGGGUUGGAUCUGAAAUAGUAUACCUGACCUGACUGACCUGAGUCUCUCUAUUUCUCUCUUCUCCUCAGAGUCCUUGUGUCGUGGAUGGAUACUCCCUCUUCUUCGAUAAGUUCAUGUCCAGGGAGGAAUCUGGGAAAUGGUUUGGAGAGAAGGUCCUUGUAUUAGCAAAUUGUUUUUGCAAUUGCCGUUUUUGUUACAAGUGGGCUUAUAAUGGAGUCAAAACUGGUCUUCAACAGCCCGUCAACGUUCUCUCCGUCAAUAAAAAUUUGAUGGUUUCUGAAGUAGUUUGCUGGUGGUUUUUGAAAUUCAAUGUUGAAUUGAUGUGUGUAUACAUAUAUGGAUUUAAUCGUGAUUAUAUAGAAUUGCAUUUUCUCUCUGCUUUCUGUUCUGUCAUGAAGAGAUUUAUAUUGUCAAUUGUAAAUCUAGGAUGGCCUUGGUCGAUUGGGUUUUCUAGAUAGCUAAGUUACAAGUCUGUUGUCAUUAUAAUUACAAAAUUUGACAAACUAAAUGGAAAAGGUAGAUAAUUCGGUUGUUUACUUGAUAUGUGCACAAAGGGUAGAUAAUUUUGGAGCUUCUGGGAAUUGAAGGAGGAAGAACACAGUAUUUAAACAAAUUGAUAGAGGUAUGACAAAUCAAAAUGGAGAUGGGCUGACAGCAUCAAGAACCAUCCUGAUAAGGGCGGAGAUCUAGAAAAAGUAUUCAUCUUUAUCUUUUUCCAUGAAUCCCUGAUUAGGGUUUUUCCAGAUUUGGGUAUUUAGUCCUAGACUCACCAAGGAUGGCAUUUUUGUCACAAAGGCUGGUCCUGCUGGAAUUCCAGCCACAAAGAAGUAUUCUCUUGCAUAUAUCUAAUUCAACUUGCAUAUGUGGAAGAGGCUGGUGAUCUGUACAGGGGAGAAAUGGAGGAAUCAGAAAUGUAGAGUUUGAUAAUGGAAGAAUUAGAGGAGAAAUAUAACUAAUGCAUACACCCUUGACUAUCAGUGAAGUUGAUCCCAUAUUAGCCUCCUUCUCUGGAGGAGCUGUGGGAGUGAUCUUAACACUGACGGUGGCUGAGAAGUGAGUUUAUUGUAUUUUGGUACAUUUGUACGGCUUUCACAUUGACAAAAUAUGGUAUGGAGUGAGUGGAUAUUCUGCAUUAAUUUUUAUUUCCAAAGGGAAACAAGGAUGAUAAAGAGUAUGGCGGAGGCUGAGAUUUAGAAGAUUUUGUAAAUGUCAUCAAUGAGAAAUGUAGGACGAGCAGAGAUGCGAAAGGGCAACUUACUUCCAAAGUCGGUACCAGUUUAACCAAUGAACAUGCCUCAUCAGUUUCUUUAUCAAUCAUUGGUGUAUAAUUGGUAGAAAAGUAUAUUUGAAUUUUGUUUCUUUAUAUGGAAUUUGAUGGUUUUUAGGUUUGA